AUUGAACGCUGGCGGCAUGCCUUACACAUGCAAGUCGAACGGUAGAGGGGGGCAACCCCUUCGAGAGUGGCGAACGGGUGAGUAAUGCAUCGGAACGUGCCCAGUCGUGGGGGAUAGCCCGGGGAAACCCGGAUUAAUACCGCAUACGACCUGAGGGUGAAAGCGGGGGACUCGCAAGGGCCUCGCGCGAUUGGAGCGGCCGAUGUCGGAUUAGGUAGUUGGUGGGGUAAAGGCCUACCAAGCCAGCGAUCCGUAGCUGGUCUGAGAGGACGAGCAGCCACACUGGGUCUGAGACACGGCCCAGGCUCCUACGAGAGGCAGCAGGGGGGAAUUUUGGACAAGGGGGGCAACCCUGAUCCAGCCAUGCCGGGUGCGGGAAGAAGGCCUUCGGGAUGUAAACCGCUUUUGUCAGGGAAGAAAUGUCCUGGGCUAAUCCCCUGGGGGGAUGACGGUACCUGAAGAAUAAGCACCGGCUAACUACGUGCCAGCCGCCGCGGUAA
rnacentral:rRNA from 1 species